UGGAAGGGGCAUGCAGAGGAG
rnacentral:miRNA from 9 species